AAUACUGAUUUUGGAUAAUUUCCAUAAACUGAUUUUGAAAACUGGAAAAAAAAAAUUAAAUUAAACUAAACUUUUCGAUAAGAGCUAGCAACAAACCUUAAUUUGAAUUGAGUCUUAUCUUCGAAAUAUUCUAGAGAAAUUCAACCUAACCUCUAAGUUAUAUAUAUACACCUAAAUCCUAAAGCUGAUACAAUACCCAUCUCUUUCAAUUUACCAAGUCGUCAUUCCCAACCAGUCUUUCAUCGCGGAGGCUAUUAGGUGAACGUUUCGGAGGUUACUUACCUUGAGAUUUACGCACGAUCAAGCAAUUGCAAAGGGGGGAACGACGGAAUUGACUCCGAGCUAAACAUCGACUCGUCAUAAGAAGGAUUGGCGAGA